GACUCGAGAUAAACCCGUCCCCUACACCACUUAAUUUUACCACACGAGACAGAGACAUACAAACCCAAACACAAUAAAAUCUAUACAAGAUGACUUCAUAAAACCAUAGCAUUGUCUUAAGAUAUGUAUAUUAAUAUAGAAACCUCUUUUAUAUCCUCCUUAUUAUAUUUGAAAAUCAAAUGCAAAAGUAAUAUAUAAAUUUGAAACAUAUAUUGUAAGUUAAAUAUUAAUUAUUUUAUCAAUUAUAAAUUUGGUUCUUAAAACUACAAGUACAUUUUAAUAUUUUAUAUAAUUACUCCCCAUCUAAAGUGUACGCAUCAACAAAAAAAAACAUUAAAUUGUAUUCACAAUUUUCUUAAUAUAUAAUAACAUAUAGUCAUUAAUUUUUAUUUAAUGUUAACUGAAAUAAUAUAUUAAAAAUAACAGUUAAAUUAAUAUAUAAAAUCUAAAUAUUAUUACAUAGAAAAUAUUAAAAUAUGUUUAUAUAAAAUAAUAUAUAGAGUUCUAUUUUUAGUCAAAAUUGUUCUUCUAGGAUUAGUUAUAUACUAUAUAUUAGAAUGUGGAUUAAUUCUAAAAUAUAAUAAUUAUAUUUGGAUAUAAUCUAAUGAUUAUUACUUUAUUUUACUAAUAUAUACAUUUUAGAUGAAGAGAAAACUCCAUACUAUAUAUAAAAUUAUAGCUAGUUGGCUUAUAAAUAUAGCACCAUUAUAUUUUUGAACAUUAAUAUAUCACCAAAAUUUACUCCAAAUCCAAGUCAAAUAGAGCAAUUAUAUAGUAAAAACCAAUUUAUUUGCUACCAAAUCUAGUAGAGUAGAAUAUUUCCUUACAAUACAUCAAUUUUGACUUUAUAAAGAAGUAAUAUGUCAUCAUAACUAAUCACAAAAUCCCAAAACAAACAAUAAAAAUCCUCAUAUCAUAAGAGAAAAAAUGGAUUGCAAAAGAUCUUUACAUGCUUUCAUUGUGGUAUCAAUCAUCACUAUGUUCUUGAUUUCAGGACAUGUAGAUGCUGAUGGUGACUCUUGCAAGUAUAGUCCUGGACCAUGUACAAAAACUUGCAACUUUGUUUGCUCAGGAUUUGGCUUUAAAUAUGGAGGAGACUGUGAGGGUACCAUAUGUUGCUGCAAGAGAGCAGCAUCUGAUCUACAAAUCUCAACACCAAAUUAGUUCCCUUUAGACUUCUUCCCUCAUUUUGUUUGAUGUAAUCUUAAUAAUAUAUUUUGUUAUCAUUCCAUGAUGCAUGAGAUGAUUAGAAUAAUAUAUAAUCUUGUGAAACUUAAAAUUAAAACUCAGAAUAAACUUAUGUGAAAUUUAAGUAUCAUAUAUAUUAAUUCAUAUGAGAAAUCACGAAAAUAUAUAAACCUACACAGACAGUAAAUAUAUUUUUCUCGGAAUGUAACUUAAUUAUAUAGGUAUAUAAUAUACUCAUUCAUAGAAAAUGAAUUAUAAUAUAAUCAUAUAUAUAUAUACAUAUUAUUCGAAGUGAAUUGAUUCAAUUUUUUAGAUUCAUAAGAACAUCUCUAGUGUAUUAAAAAAUUAAAUUCAUAGAUGUUUUGUGGUUAUUUCUAGAUAGAAAAAUGCAGCCGCAAAUUUUGUGUAGUUGAUUUGUGACUAAUUUCAAAUUUUCUGGUAGUGGGCAGAGUCUUUGUGGAUGGAAUUAUGGAACUGUGGCAUUCAUAUUUUGUUUAGGAUGAUUCUUUGAGGACUCAUUUUGUAGAAACUGUUGUUAAAGAGUCAUUCGGAUUUUUUCUAAAUUUUCAUCAGAUAUAUUUAUCAAAAUUUAUGGAUUUUUGCUGAUAAAUAAAUUUAGAUUCUCAGAAUUUUAUGGUUUAUUUGAUUAUAUAAUACAAAAUUAGUUUUGUUACAAAGAAUGGAAGGACGAAUGAAAUGAUAGAAAAUGAAAUAUAAAAAAAUAGAAAAAAAAGGAUAGAGUAAAUGCGGAGGGAUAUUUUUGAGAAAUUAAUAUACAAUGCAAAUAAUUUAUCACAGAUUUAUGAUGUUUUAUUUCUCAGUUAAUUACAUUUCUCAUUUGUUAUUUUGUAGCUACUUGACUCAUAAAUAUAAAUUUUGACCAUUAAUAGGUCACAAAAUUUUACUACAAAACAAAAUCAGUAUAGAACAAUUACUCAUUUACUACCACAUCUAGAAGACUAAUUAUUUUUAACAGAUAAAUAUUCAAAAUUUUGCUUUUGUAACUAAAAACCACUUUAGAAAUUGAGAAAUUAUCAUGAAGAAUUUCCCAUUUAAAUAAAACUCCAACACAAACAAUAAAAUCACAAUAUCAUAAGAAAAAAAAAUGGAUUGCAAAAGAUCUACGCAUGCUUUCAUCUAUGCUUGCUAUGUUCUUGAUUUCAGGUCACGUAGAUGCUGAUGGUAACUCGUGCAAGUAUAGUCCCGGACCUUGUACAAAACAAUGCAACUUUGUGUGUUCAGGCUUCGGCUUUAAAUAUGGAGGACAUUGCAAGGGGACAAAAUGUCGCUGCAAAAGAGCAGCUUCCGAUCUACAAAGCCCUUGAACUAUAAUUUUUGUCUAAACCAACAAAGAUAGUGUCAUUUAUUAAACAAGCCAUAUAUAGUAGACCCGUUUUGGAUUUUGAUCCACUAUUUUGGGCUUAAUGUUUGUUGUAUGUAUUUUUUAUUUGGCCCUUUGUAAUUCAACCAUUAAAGUAAACUAUUAAAUGAAACUAGGGAUUAACCCGGGCUACGCCCGGGAUUUUUAUAUUUUUCUAAUUUAAGUUGUUAAAUUAUUUAUAUUUAGGUUAUGAUAUAUAUUUAUAUAAAUGUUAAGAUGUAUGUCAUAAUUAAAAUUUAUUUUUAAAUUUUAACACGUUAAAUUAACAUAUUUUUUACUAUUUAAAUAUUUUUUGUAAUUUUAUUGGCUAUCUAGUUAUCAUAUUUAGGAAAACUAUCUGUUGAGUGUUGGAAUAAAUGUUUUAGAUAUUUAAUUAAACUGCUGAGUAUUUUCGGAUCGACCACAUGCUUAACAAUCGAUCAAUCCGUAAAAAAGAUGGUCGAUCUUCUUGGCGAGGUAAUUACAAUUUUAGCAAAAAUAUCUUUGAUUUUCAAAUUUAAGUAUAUAACUAUUCUUUUGAAUAUUAUUUUUUAUUGUAUUUUUUGAUUAAAUUAUUGUAUUAUAAUGUUUAUGUAAAUAUUUUUUGUGAUGUUUGAAUUUGUGUUGUUCGUAUACUUAAUCUAGAUGAUAUUGAUGUUUAACCAUUUGUUUUU